UACGGGGGGAGCAAGCGUUGUUCGGAUUUACUGGGCGUAAAGGGCGGGUAGGCGGCCACCGCAAGUCAGUUGUGAAAUCUCUGGGCUUAACCCAGAAAGGUCAACUGAUACUGCGGGGCUAGAGUGCAGAAGGGGCAACUGGAAUUCUCGGUGUAGCGGUGAAAUGCGUAGAUAUCGAGAGGAACACCUGCGGCGAAGGCGGGUUGCUGGGCUGACACUGACGCUGAGGAGCGAAAGUGUGGGGAGCGAACAGG
rnacentral:rRNA from 1 species